UACAAAGCGACAUCCUGUCUCCAAAA
rnacentral:piRNA from 1 species